UACGUAGGGUGCAAGCGUUGUCCGGAAUUAUUGGGCGUAAAGAGCUUGUAGGCGGUCUGUCGCGUCGGCUGUGAAAACCCGAGGCUCAACCUCGGGCCUGCAGUUGAUACGGGCAGACUAGAGUGUGGUAGGGGAGACUGGAAUUCCUGGUGUAGCGGUGAAAUGCGCAGAUAUCAGGAGGAACACCGGUGGCGAAGGCGGGUCUCUGGGCAGUAACUGACGCUGAGGAGCGAAAGCGUGGGGAGCGAACAGG
rnacentral:rRNA from 1 species